rfam:Erinaceus europaeus unplaced genomic scaffold scaffold00347, whole genome shotgun sequence
GUGGGCUAUGGAGACAUGUACCCCAUGACGGUAGGAGGCAAGAUUGUGGGGUCGUUGUGCGCCAUUGCGGGCGUCCUCACCAUCGCCCUGCCGGUGCCCGUCAUCGUGUCCAAC